ensembl:lncRNA
AAACUUUCUAAAAGCCAAAUCCAUCUUAACUGCAGGGGACUCUAGGGACCUGAAUGCAUCCUUUGGGAAGAUGACCUUCCAGGAUGCACCUACAUCUGAAAUAUGAAAGCAGAUGUAGUGUUUGUUUUGGCUGCACUCUGCAAGGUCACUUCACCCUAUGGCUUUUAGUGUUCAAGAGUGUGGUGUCCUCUGGAUCACUCACUGCUGCUAAUUCUGCCACGUGGGUCAGCUGGAUCCCAGGUCAGCAUGAAGCCAUUUCUCUUGCGUGCAAAAGGAAAGCCAGCCUAUUUAAUGUGUGCCAUCAGCAGCUCGAAAGCACCAAUGUUUUAUCUCUUGUCAUUCAUUACAAACAAAUUGUAUCCUUCUUCAUAGUUGCCAUGCAGGAUAGAUAUCGAGGAUCUGUAUAAUAUUGUUCAGUGUUUAGAAAAUAUUUAAUCAUCACUGUGGAGUACAAUUUGCAUUAUUCCCAUUUUUCAUGCCAACAUGAUUUGUAUGGCAGCCAAUGUAUGCUAAUUAGUCAAAUUUCCCUAAUUAAUUUUUGUUAACGUGUUGUCCUGACAUGACUUGAAAUGUACAGCUUAUUGUAUUAAAUGUAUUAAAAUUGCUUCUGCUUUCUACUGUAUACCAGGGAAUAAUCUGCUACCAACAGCAAGUGUUUACAACAAUUUUUAAAUGCACAUAUUCUAAUUAAAGUGAACAUCCAACAUGUUGGCCAAGGGUGAGUCAUACUUCA